GCUGUGGAGCGGAUCAGUAAGGCAGGAAGGCUGCGGUUCUUCUCUCUGAGCUCAGGUGGCAGCAGAGCUGUGCCCCACAUGAAGCAGAAGAAGACUGUGACCGGAAACUAAACAGCAACGGAGCAACGUUCAGCGGAAGAACAUAAAUAAUCCCUAAAUAGAGUAACCAGCGACUCGCUGCAGGUUCAUGGACUCUGGAACUCUCAUCUCGUUACCAUUAGUUACAGCAUGGGUCUCUCUGAUUGGACAGACGCUCUGACUGCGUUGCCUCCAGGUGUGCUGUCAGGAUGUCCCGCUCCUCUGAUGAAGGUAACCAGAAAAAUGGGCCUCCCAGCAGGAUAUGGGCGGAGCCAAAGCCCGGUCCAUCCAGGUAUGAGUCUAGUAAGAAGGGUUACUGUGGAUACUGCAGCGUCCUCUACACCAGCCUAGACCAGCACCUCUCUAGUCUCAGACACCUGGAUUCAGUCCAGGCGUCCUCCAGAGGCUCCGCCCCCGUGUACUUGGCCAGAAGCAAUCAGAGCAGACUGACUCUGCUGGAGCGCUUCCUGCAGGAUGUGCAGGAGCACCACCCGCACCGAUACGGCGAUGCCAGGCCAUCCCACGCUGACCUUCCUUCUGUCUCCAUCCCCCUACUGCCAAAGGUGGAGCUUGAUGAAGUCUGCUCCUCUGACAGUCAGUCCUUAGGUACUCAAGAACAUCUUCCCAGCUCUGAUGAUGCAUCUUGUCAGCCAGCCAAUGAGGAGAGAGAAUGCAGCUUCCAUAGCCAAUCAGGAAGAGGAGCUGGUCAUACUCCAUGCCCUAAAGCCCUGCCCCCUUGUAUUAACACUCCACCCCUUCAGUCUCAGGCUCCGCCCUCUGUCCAUAGAAAAGCCCACAGGAAGACCAACAGGAGGAAACCCAGUGAGUCUUCAUCCUCCACUCACACUCCCAGUGCCCUAGUUCUCCAGGCACAGCUGGACCCAAGCGCCAGCAAGAGGCGCCAGGCCCCUGCAGAGUCAAAUGCCCAAACCUCUUCAGGACCAACACUCCUUGAGCCCACAGACCCAAGGACUCAGUUCCCCUCGGGCCAGAGGUCCCAGUACCCCACAAAGCCAAAGACCCGACCCCUGUCAGGCCCGAGGCCCUUUGUGAGCUGGCAGAGGGAAAGGAGGGAGGUCCAGAAGGAGGAGGCGUUCUCCUUACACAGUGACCCUGUGGAACAGACCAUUGAAGAGGUGAUCCAGAUGUGCUGCCACAGCCUCUCUUCACCUAACCACCAGCAGGAAGAGGUGGAGAGCCUCCAUCUCAGCCUUCCUAUAACCAUGGAAACACAGAGUGAGGACUGGGACACACCAGUGCAGCAGGGGAUCUUUCAGAGAGCUGGAACAUCCACGGAUGCCCCUGUCCAAAUGGCCCAGAAAGAAGGACGGGACCUCGGCCAUCUCAUGGACAUCCGGGUGGACAUGGAGGACCAUGUGUACUCCAACCAGCUUGACUCCGCUCUGGUUGGUGGUGGGGUCAAGCAGGAGAAGGGGUUCUGGAAUCUCCCUAUAGACGAUGUCCUGCCGGUCCCAGAACAUAUUCCAGAAUCCUUCAAGGGAAAGUCCUGGACCCAGAUCCAACAAGAGGACGAGGAGAGGGUGGAGAGACUUGUCCAGCAGUUCAGGCUGGGAAGAUUUAUCUGCUACUUUGACACAGAGUCUCUGGCCAGGUGUGGUAGGAGGAGCAUGAAGAAGAAGACCCAGGAGAAGGAGCAAGACACAGGUGUGGUGCCCUUGGUGGACCGGGAUGAUGAUGACUCUGCAUGUGUGAGGAUGAGGAAGAGGAGGCGGAGCUUUAGACUGGCAUCCAGGUGUCAGGUGGUUAAAGUGAGCCAUGGCACUCAGACUCUUCGAUUGGUGAUCCCGACGGUCCAUCAGCUGUCCUCAGAAGUUCCACCCACCAGCUUACCUGCAGCCAAUGAGAAAACACCAGAGACUCAGAUGUGGCAUUCUCUCCCUCCGUCUUACUCCAGCAUUGUUACCCCUGUACAGCCAUGGACCUCGCUGGUCUACCUGCUCUGCUCCCCUUCAUGCUCCGUUCCCACCUCACCUGAAGGCUCCACCCCCAAACGCUGCAGAAGGAGGCGGCGUCCUGUCGACCUACAGCGGUUAAAGGUCAAGUACAAAAGACUUCCUGUUAAGCUUUAUGAGCCUGGAACCAACCAGAUCCUGAGAAACCCUCCACAAAGAUUACUAAAACCCAGAGGCUCCGCCUCCUCAGGCCAACCGCCACCGUGUGUCCGGCAGCUGUUUCGGAGUCUGAGUCCAGACCUUAACAUGGACAGACGGUCAGGGGAGGGGCCUAAAGGUGACUCUGCCCUGAUGAGCACGCUUAGUGGAAACUCUAGGACACAGCCUGUCAGGAGGCGGGGUGGGAUUUCUCAGACCCCUCCCACAACCACCUACAGCUCACAGAGAGAAAGGGGGGGUAGGGGCGGUUCUUCCCAGAGAAGAAGCAGGAUGCAAGUCCCGCCCCCUCCACGCAGGAGGGAGGGGCUCCGACGAGCAGCACCUAGCAGGAAACUUCUCAGCGGCCACGGCGUUAAGCCUCCCCGCAGGGGGAGGAGUCAGAGAGGGCGAGGCUGUGAGAGGGGGGCCAGGUAGCAGCAUGGACUUUUUAUGGAACCCUGCUGGGGUCAAAGUGACAUUUAUGUCCUGCAAAUAUCAUCAAGACGUAAAAAGUCUUUGUCUGUCAGUGGUUUCAUGAGUCUCAGCUCACCUGGACAGGUUUAGAUCAGCACCAAGUUGUACUGAUCUGACACACGGUGCAAUGAAACGAAUCUUCAAAGCGUCCACCAGACAGCACACUGAGUCUCCCACCUGUUCUGCUGCCUCCACAAGCUCCGCCUUCACUCCCACACCUGGACACAAAUUAACACAAACUGUUUUUAUUGCAGUCAGUUGGGGACAGAUGUGAUGGAUGUCUUCCAGUCUACCUGUCUCUUUGUAUUCAUCUCAACUAUGGAAGCAAAUUGUUACCAUAUUUCAAAUGAAAAAGCAUUUCCAGAAAUGCUUUUUCAUUUUAAGAAUGUGGCUGCGUUAUUUGACCCAUAAAUAAAAUUAAUAAUCAAUCAUCCUA